rnacentral:sRNA from 1 species
CUUGGGGACUUUUCUUUUCUGCUUUGCAGGCCCAGGCUCGAGGCAAAUUAUAAAUAGGGAACCAAUUUGAGGGAAAGACAUGUGAACAGAGUUAAGGUACCACGUCCUGGGAGCGACCAGCAGCCCCACCUGAAGUCCGCAUGCAACUCUGACAAGCUCAGGUGCUUGUUUUAAGGAAAGGGGCUACUAGAUUCUUACCAACAGCGAGCCCAGGUGGGAGAUGAAACAGGUACUCCCCAAAAUAGGUCAUCCGAGGGAGGAAAACUGAUGGAGAGCACAAUAUGCUCUGAGCGUUUUUAAUGUUUUUAAGCUUUUAAAUGAUUUCUUCAAGGCCGAGCAGCAGCAGCAAAGGUGUGGUUUAAAGGAUUAAGGGGGUUUUUGCUGACACCUAGAAUGAAGUUACUCUAUUACUAAUCAAGCCGAGAGGAGGCCCACUAUGCCCCCGUUUAUCAUCCUUUCCCAGUUCCUUUUUGCUGGUCACAAAACGAUGCUCAUCAAUCCCACCUAAAGCAGGAGGCCAGGAGCCCAGCCUCUUGUAGAAACAGCGAGGGUAUAACUGCCCUCCCGUUCUGCCCCCAAGACGAAGGAGGACUCUCGGAAGCCAAGAAAGGUUUAAGAAGUCUUUCUGGAUAGAGAGCCGUGCCCAGGGAGGAAGCCUUUCGCCGGCAGAGCGGGGUCCGAGGACGAGCUGGAGAGGACAGAGGCGCGAUGGGCCUGCUGCAGGGCCUGCUCCGAGUCCGGAAGCUGCUGCUGGUCGUCUGCGUCCCGCUCCUGCUGCUGCCUCUGCCCGUCCUCCACCCCAGCAGCGAGGCCUCGUGUGCUUACGUGCUGAUCGUGACUGCUGUGUACUGGGUGUCGGAGGCAGUGCCUCUGGGAGCUGCAGCCCUGGUGCCGGCCUUCCUCUACCCGUUCUUCGGAGUCCUCCGGUCCAAUGAGGUGGCGGCGGAGUACUUCAAGAACACCACGCUGCUGCUGGUGGGGGUCAUCUGCGUGGCGGCUGCCGUGGAGAAGUGGAACCUGCAUAAGCGCAUUGCUCUGCGCAUGGUCUUGAUGGCCGGAGCCAAGCCAGGCAUGCUGCUGCUCUGCUUCAUGUGCUGUACCACGUUGCUGUCCAUGUGGCUGUCCAACACCUCCACCACCGCCAUGGUGAUGCCCAUAGUGGAGGCCGUGCUGCAGGAGCUGGUCAGUGCUGAGGACGAGCAGCUCGUGGCGGGCAACUCCAACACCGAAGAGGCCGAACCCAUCAGUACAGUUUGCUGGAGUUCAUCUCUCCUUUGCUCCUCCAACCUCCCCUGGGGUCCUCCUGCCUGGCUCCUCUAGGGAGACUGCCCAACUUUGUGCCCACCCCAGGACCCCCUCAGCCAUGCCCCCACAUUCCCCUUCCUCUUCCCUCUCUCCUCUUUCCCAUCCCAGCUCUUGGACUCUGAAGCUUCCCUGAACUCCCUGUUCUGGCUCUUCCUUCCUCCUUCACUUCUGGGCUCUUUUCCCCCAAAUGCUCAAGGGUACACACUGCUCUUUGCCCCCAAAUGCUCAAGGAUCACUGCAAAACCCUGGGGCCAGUCUGCAUCCAUGAGCCCCACUCUACUUACAGAGCAAAGGGAAGGAGAAAUGUCACCCACUCCAUAUGGCCCACCUCCGCCCUAAGCCCUUGAGCUAUGCUCCAACCCACAGGGUCAGCCCCAGCCUCCACCUCUCACAUACUGCUUUUCUUUGCUACUCAUAGGUCUGGAUGUAAAGAACAGCCAACCUUCUCUGGAACUCAUCUUUGUCAAUGAAGAGUGAGUAUGACUGCCCUCUUCCCAGAGAGCGCCUCUCAGAGUCCAUAGGGGAGGUCAGAAAAGAGGGGACCUAGACCCAUAAACAGCUCUUUGAGAUGUACCGCCCAAGCUCACCACCUUGCCACACACCGCCCCCCCACCCCGCCCAACCUCCCCCAUUUCCUCUCCAUACCUAGGAGUGACCUGUCAGGACCUGGAGAGUCACUCCCUUAACCACAGUGUUGCAGUGAUGAGGAAGAAAUUAAAAGGCCACACUGAAUCUCAGUGGAUAUACGAACUGUCCACACAGCCACCAUGCAGAAUCUCUUCUAAAUUCAUGUCCCUUUUAGGAAAAUAGUAUGUUUAAUUUGUUAACGGAAAACCGUUCACAUCUCGAUGCCACUGCAGAUUCUUGGAGAAUCAUGAAAUAUUUUCUAGAUAUUAGAUAAGACCUUGGUAGAUUUGGUCUUGUUAGAUAUGGCAAAGAAAACUUAGGUGACAGGUAGGGGAUGAGGGGACAGGAGGUGAGAGGGCCUUGUGAUGAUGGGAAGCAGAGCUGGAAAAGGAGAAGCAGCCUCAGACAUUCCUGGAGGAAGCUCCAUUAACAGCUGAUUCCAUUUGGAGGUUCUAUUUCAAAAUGUGGCCCACAGGCAUGCCGCAAUGAAUAGUCCACAUUUAAAAGCCGGAUUUGUAACACAGCUCAGCUCUGUCAUUUGCCCUUGUUGUAAAAAAGGAGAACGCACAUUGGGUGAAAUCAGCGUUCACAGUGGGACAGACGUGGAAGGGUGCCAUCAGGAAAUCGCUUUAUUUUUCUCCACCACUAUCUUCAAUCAUAGCAUAUUGGAUUUCUUGAUGACAUCACCCUUGAUGAUAUCCCAGGCAAAUCCCGUAGCUCUCCUGGUUCCUUUCAGGUAUUAUAACAAUCUCAUGUUCAGACAUUUGGGAGACUAGUCCAAAUUCAAAUCAAAACUUCAACUUCUCAGCCAAAGCUUCUCCCACACCCACCCACCCCUCACCCUAGGCCUGCAGAAGAAAGAAGGUGAAAGUAAGUCGGGGGAGGGAGUUGACCUUCUUUCUGUCUUCCUCCACCUCCCUCUUCUCCUCCUCCCCUAACCGCACCCUCACUCUGCUGCUUCUGACUUUUCUGGGCUUGGGACAGCUGCUCUAGGGUACAGGAAAGAUAAAUGGGUGAGAAGGGUCUGGACGGGGGCUAUUGAGGUCUGGGGUUGGUGCCCUCUCUGAGAUUUCAGUCCCUGGCUCUUUCAUCUGUGGGGCAACUGCCUUCACGGUCUUUGGAGCAUCCCAUUAUGGCGCCCUCUGCAGGGCCUCAGGCCUGAUGGCAGGGCCUUGCUCUGGGAUUAACACUCACGCCACCCUCCUGGGCCUGUGCUCUGGUGGUUAACUCCCCCACAACCCCUGUAUUGGGGCUGCCUCUGCCUCUGGGCAGGCCUGUCCCAGGUGACCCAGGAAAAGGCCAUCUUCACUGUGGCCUUUUCUCCUCCCUGUGGCCUCUCUGGCAUCACCCUACUGGCUCCUUGCCUUUGCUCUUUUCCACACAAAAAUGUAUCCCCAAACUCCAAAAGAAAAGCCUGAGUUGUCCCUAGAACUCUAAGCAUCUUUUGUGCUGGUGGGAACUGGGUCAUUUGCUGGGUGUGCAGACAGCACUCUUUUGGCCACCACCUCCCAUGCUACCUGAGGAUCCUCGCCUACCCUCCUCACCCAGUUUGGGAAGAAGGGAAGGGAAACAUCACAGCACAUUCUCCUCCCAGGCUAAGAACUCACUCCAAAGAACACUUCCCUCUGCACGCCUGUCAGCUUAUCCUUCCCUGCCAGAGCCUGGAGAGGGACCAUGGCCGCAGGACCCACAUCCCGCAUGUGUGUGCCCAAUACGCUCUCUGUCUUCACAGUGGCUGAGCUGGUGGCUCCCACUGUCCUCGCAACUAAGACAAACUGGAAACAUUCACUGAUCACUCAGUGUGUCAGUUACACUGAUGACUAAGUUCUCAUCUUCUUCUGUCCUCAAGGCAAAGGUUGGGGACCAGCAGGGGUGGGAGAGACUCACCCCCUGAGGUGUACUUGCUGAUCAGAAGUCCUCCCCCUCCCCCACCCUCUCCCUCUCCGUUGACUUUCCCUGAGUACAAUCCAGGCCCUCCCUGCUCCUGUCACCUCAGAUACGCAUAUCACAAGUUCCCCUUUCUAGAUAGUGGUCUUCCCAGAGUCAGCCAGUGAGAACAUGAGAGUCAGCCAGUGAGAACAUGGUCAGGGGGCAUAGGCUCUCCAGAGAGACAGACUCCUGGACUCCUACCCUCCUCCACCACUUAGCAUCCCCGUGCUAAGUACUGGUGUAAAUGGAGGUAUGAAUGCCGGGACCAUAGAUCUGUGAUGAGGAUUAACAACGUCUGGGGGUUAAAGCCCAUAUAUGUGCACUCUCUAUCUAAUAUCCACUCCACGUCUGCUGUUAGGACAAUUGUUAAUAUCAAAGGAAAGUGCUGCCCCUGCCCUCAGAAGGAAGCAGGCCCCUGGCCCCACUAAUCCUUACAGCAUCUCAGAAGGCAAGGAAGACGAGGGAGAGAUUAGUCUUCUUUGGAGACUAGAAAACUGGAAUCCAGAGAGUUUAAGUCCCUUACACAAAACGCCUGAUGCAGGGGGACCUCCCCUCCCAAGAGUCGGCCUCACUGACGUGGCUCCUGUGUCCUCUGCUUGGUUCCAGCAGGUCCAACGCAGACCUCACCACUCUGAUGCACAACGAGGUAUGGCCUUGGGGUUUUUCUGUGCUUUGGAAUCACUUGAAAAUCCCUCAGCACUUCUUCAUGGAAACCCAAGAUUCAGAACCAGAUUUUCAACAGCCACAGAUCCACCUUAGAGUUCCUUUCAGUGAGGAUUCCAUUGACAGAAUGUUAUUAUUAAAAAGGACACAUUGGCUGGGCGUGGUAGCUCAUGCCUGUACUCCCAGCACUUUGGGAGGCCACAGCAGGAGGAUCACUUGAGGCCAGGAGUUCAAGACCAGCCUGGCCAACAUGGUGAAACCCCGCCUGUACUAAAAAUACAAAAAUUAGCCAGGAGUGGUGAUGGGCACCUGUAAUCCCCACUACUUGGGAGGCUGAGGCAGGAGAAUCACUUGAACCUGGGAGGCAGAGGUUGCAGUGAGCCCAGAUCGUGCCACUGCACUUCAGCCUGGGCAACAGAGUGAGACCCCCAUCUCAAAAAAUAAAAAUAAAUAAAAAUAAAAAGAACACAUUUACAGGGGAAAGCAGAGUUUACCUGCACACAGUUACUCGAACUUACUUCACCUCCCCCAAAUCUGGUUAUACAUCUUUUCAUGAGAAGUAUAAAAGGCCAAUUAAACAUUGGACUUCAGCUGGGUACAAUGGUGUGCACGUGUACUUCCAGCUACUGGGGAGGCUGAGGCAGGAGGAUCGCUGUGGCCCAGGAGUUUGACCCCAGCCUGGACAACACAGUGAGACCCUGUCUCUAAAACAAACAAAAAACUGUGGACUUGGUUGUGAUUAUUUUUUUUUCAUUUUCUUUUUUUUCAUCUUAUAUAUAAAGGGUUCUUCAUUAGCUAAUAAAGUCCCAGAAAGACUGGCUCUCCUCUAAGGGCAGAGCCAUGUUCUGCCUAGUUUCAAAGCCUCUUCAAGUGCAGAGCUUGACACCAGGCUGGGCGGGGCAGGCCUGGCUGAGGUGCCCUGGUGUAUAUGCUCCCCCUGGCUUCUGGCCUCUGGUUCCCACAGUGCUGAGGCAUGGGGUGGCCCUGGGAUGACUAGGUGGUCCUUCUCAAGGCACCUGGCUCACCACUUCCUCUUCCUAAUAGUGAGAUGGCCUUUGUCCCAACAGAACCUGAAUGGUGUGCCCUCGAUCACCAGCCCCAUCAAAACUGCAAACCAACACCAGGGCAAGAAGCAACACCCAUCCCAGGAAAAGCCACAAGUCCUGACCCCCAGCCCCAGGAAGCAGAAGCUGAACAGAAAGUACAGGUCCCACCAUGACCAGAUGAUCUGCAAGUGCCUCUCCCUGAGCAUAUCCUACUCCGCUACCAUUGGUGGCCUGACCACCAUCAUCGGCACCUCCACCAGCCUCAUCUUCCUGGAACACUUCAACAACCAGUAUCCAGCCGCAGAGGUGGUGAACUUUGGCACCUGGUUCCUCUUCAGCUUCCCCAUAUCCCUCAUCAUGCUGGUGGUCAGCUGGUUCUGGAUGCACUGGCUGUUCCUGGGCUGCAAUUUUAAAGAGACCUGCUCUCUGAGCAAGAAGAAGAAGACCAAAAGGGAACAGUUGUCAGAGAAGAGGAUCCAAGAAGAAUAUGAAAAGCUGGGAGACAUUAGCUACCCUGAAAUGGUGACUGGAUUUUUCUUCAUCCUGAUGACCGUACUGUGGUUUACCCGGGAGCCUGGCUUUGUCCCUGGCUGGGAUUCUUUCUUUGAAAAGAAAGGCUACCGUACUGAUGCCACAGUCUCUGUCUUCCUUGGCUUCCUCCUCUUCCUCAUUCCAGCGAAGAAGCCCUGCUUUGGGAAAAAGAAUGAUGGAGAGAACCAGGAGCACUCACUGGGGACCGAGCCCAUCAUCACGUGGAAGGACUUCCAGAAGACCAUGCCCUGGGAGAUUGUCAUUCUGGUUGGGGGAGGCUAUGCUCUGGCCUCUGGUAGCAAGAGCUCUGGCCUCUCUACAUGGAUUGGGAACCAGAUGUUGUCCCUGAGCAGCCUCCCACCGUGGGCUGUCACCCUGCUGGCAUGCAUCCUCGUGUCCAUUGUCACUGAGUUUGUGAGCAACCCAGCAACCAUCACCAUCUUCCUGCCCAUCCUGUGCAGCCUGUCUGAAACGCUGCACAUUAACCCCCUCUACACCCUGAUCCCAGUCACCAUGUGCAUCUCCUUUGCAGUGAUGCUGCCUGUGGGCAAUCCCCCUAAUGCCAUCGUCUUCAGCUAUGGGCACUGCCAGAUCAAAGAUAUGGUGAAAGCUGGCCUGGGAGUCAACGUUAUUGGACUGGUGAUAGUAAUGGUGGCCAUCAACACCUGGGGAGUUAGCCUCUUCCACCUGGACACUUACCCAGCAUGGGUGAGGGUCAGCAACAUCACUGAUCAAGCCUAACGCCAAGUGUACAAACGGGCCCAACCACAGGAGCUGCCAGUAUCCAGCAGAAUCUGGACCACAGGCAAAGAAAACCACUAGGACCACCAGGAGCCAGGAGCACACAACCCCAGACCCAUGCCGGAGGGCAUCCCUCCACCAGAAGAUUCUGCCACCUCAAGUGAACUGCAGGAAUCCUCCAACAACCACAAACACAUGCUUCGCUGUUAGUGUCUUCUUCCUGCCCUCAGCACCACAGCUCAAGAAAACCUAAAGUUUCAAUACAAGCCAUAGGCUCACAGAAAAAGAAAAAGAAAAUAAAAAUUAAAUUAAAAAAAAAGAAGACAAAG